AGUAUACGAUAAGACGAUAAGAUACGUAACUUGUCAUAACUUAAAAGAUGUCACAGCCAACGAAGGUUUACCAGGCCACGUUGUAGUAAUAAAUGUUUUCGUCGUUAUCGGAUGACUAACUACUGAAAUGUUUGAAUCCGUGCUAUUACGCAUUAUCAUUUUCUGCAAUCAGAACUCAAUUGAAUUCGAUCAAAUGUUAUUUUCAUAUUCAAUUGCCCAUUGAUUAACAAUUUAGUAGGAAUUUAUGCGAUCAACUGAUGUGUGAUUGACAAAGUGAUGCCGAAGCAUUUAGUUUUAGUUUCAACUACGGAAGAAUAUCUUUUCAACAAUUGUUAACUUAUGGUUAACUAACUAACUAAACAUGAAUUACUAACCUAACAUGAAUAAACAUACACAUUUGAACAUCUUAUUUACACUGUUCAAAAAUAUAUGAGUACUGUAACACUACAGUGAUAAGAAUAGAAUAGAAGAAUAUACAUAAGUACUAUUCUUUCUUCAACAUUUAUUUACACAAUUUUCUAUUGUUCACCGAACCAUAAAAAAAUUUACAAAAACUAAUUCUAAUUUUGGAACAUUUGAUCUAAAUGAAAAACAUGAAAACUACUUGAUCGUGCACAUUUAACCGUUGCAGUCAGUUCCUUCAAAUGAGCCAGAUUUAAAAAAAUAAUCAUUAAUCAUCACUAAUUUGAUGAAUCUGACUUAGAAAGACUAUUUGAGUAGAUUCAAACAUUUCUAAGAAAAUCAUUGUUGGACAAAAUGACUUGGAAGUUUAUUUGAGCUAAAAGUCAAUAAAAACUUUCUAUACUGCCUAUAUUUAAAAAUAUUAAUAGAUAAUAGGUAUCUAGGUAAUUUGUCCUUACUACAGUCAGUCAAAUUGAGUCAGUCACUGGAACAUGGUUAACUAAAACUAAAGAAAAAUCAAGAUAUUCAAAACCAUAAUAUCAUAAUACAUUUUAUAACUUAGCUUUUUUUCACCAUUGAAGUUGAUUAUUUAAUCUUGCAUAUGUUGUAAAUUGAGCUCUUUUAAUAUCAACAAAACUUAUUUUAUUAUUCUCAGAAUUUUUAAUUAUU